CCUGCGCCGGGUUUGUCCGGUACGGCUGUGCCGCUCGGUGUGCACCGCUCCUCGGGACAGCGUGUGCCGGGGCCCUCCUCGGGAAAUAUUUCUUCCUUCUAUGGAAACCAACGAGCACCCGGGCCUGCACUCUUGAUAUAAAUACCCGGUGAUGACCGACUUAUUGCGGGCGACCGGGCGACGAAUCCACCGUUGGGACAGCACUGCCGGUGUCAGGCCAUAUGUGUGGGAUCUGUUGAGUCACAGCCUGAACCACGGAUUGAUCACCUGUGGAAAGGACCCAGUCAGCCCUGAGAGCACAGGUGGAUUUGCCACAAGGUUUCUCACAAUGACUAACAGUAGAAGGAAAUGUGCUCUGAAGGGGUGUGCUUGCAAGUCGGCUCAAGAGAAAUGAAAAUCGUUGUAGCGGGGACCCUGCCUGGGAGCAGAGCAUUACCAAAUACGUUACUAUGCAAAGAAUCUCAUGUUGAAUAAUUUAGAAAUACCUUUUUGUUAGUGGUCAAGUAAAACAUGGCAACAGAGGGUAAUCUCAGGAAAAAGAGGGGAUAAAAACAUCUCUAUCAAGCCCAGACUUGAUGGGAAAGGAAGAGCUGAACAAGUGUGCGUGUCUGGGGGUGUUCAUCUUCUAGACUGCACCCAGAGAAGGAGAAUGAUUGUGAUGCUGCAGUCUCGGAACUCCAGUCAGUACACAAAUGGAAGGAUUUCUGGGCUGAGAUGAAUUUAUCUCCGCAGCUUCUAAUCUUUUGGAUUUUGUGUUCUAGUGCAGUGAAGCUUUUGGGCAUGAUUUAUCAUCACUAUAGCUAACACUGUAUGGGAAAAAAACUGACUUUAGAUCUUACAUCAAAGCUUUUAACAAAGCUUGUUUCCCUGGAUUUUACUUGCUUUCCAUUGUCUCCAC
rnacentral:lncRNA from 1 species